rnacentral:rRNA from 1 species
UACAGAGGUCCCAAGCGUUGUUCGGAUUCACUGGGCGUAAAGGGUGCGCAGGUGGGUUUGCAAGUUCGAUGUGAAAGCCCCGGGCUUAACCCGGGAAUGGCAUUGGAUACUGCAGAUCUGGAGGAUCGGAGGGGAGACUGGAAUUCUUGGUGUAGCAGUGAAAUGCGUAGAUAUCAAGAGGAACACCGGUGGCGAAGGCGGGUCUCUGGGCCGUAACUGACGCUGAGGAGCGAAAGCGUGGGGAGCAAACAGG